UACCCCCCUCCAAGACAGUGCUGAUUCCUGAACGUUACGUGUCGGACACGGAGUCUGAGGAGUCACUAACGCCUGAGGAGCAGGCUCAGCGCCGACGCAAGGCAGCCAAGUUCCAGAAGCUGCUUUCCAACUACAGCAUGCAGGACCUGUCUAAAGCCAACUCGGAGCGAGAGAAGAAGGACCGCGCCCACAUCCUCUCCGUGCAGGCCGCCCUCGCCUCGCAGGUCAAACAGGAGAGUCGCAAGAUGGCGCGCUCGCCGCACCUGGAGCGCAAAAACUUCACCGUUCCCGAGGACAGAGGCACAUACCUGUAGUGUAGAAUAUCUACUGUUGUAGCUCUAGUAGCAGGGCAAUGGAACUUCCUAUGGGGCCUGGUCACAUUUGGUGUACAGUAGUUGUACGAUAACUGCAAACCAAGAGCAAUCUUGGGACAGUUGUGCUUGUGUUUGUUUCACAACUGGUGUGUUACGCCUUUAACGCACCAGUUUUGUACACUUAAGUACAAGCUGCAGACCGGCUGUAAGGUUUGAACCACUCACACCGGGAAGGACAUCUACUCAAGAAGUAUGGUGGGUUCUUUAACGUACUUGGGCCAGAGGUGUGGCUCUCUUCAAACAUGCGACCUCCAUUUAAUAUCCUAUCCAAGGGACAUCCCUAACCGAAGCUAGGUACUCAUUUCCACCUGAGUGAAGUGAGGAAAGUCGUGUAAAAUGCCUUCCAUAGGCAAAAGAUCCAGUAACAUUGUAGUAUUCGAACCCGGGACCUCUUGGUAUAAGCCGAACACGCUACUGUUUACGCCACUCAACCCCACUCUCAUACAAAAAUUCAACAGUGUUAGAACAUUGUCAGUUGCAGCCUGUUUUGAAAUUCGACAACAUCAAAAUCGUACAACCUACAUGUACAAUGAAUGUGACCAUUCUGGUAAGACUUUACUGUUGUUGCUACUGUCAUGCCAAUAUCCUGAAGGAAUGGAGAAAUUUUUACAGCAAAAUGAUGCAGCUCCUAUUGUAAAUUUAGGCUUUCAUAAUGCAAGAAAUUUUUCAAAAUAAAAAUUCAGAAUUUAGACAUUGAAGUCUUCAAUUGAAAAUGGCAGCUUGAAUUGAUUUUUAGAGAAAUGUUAUUCUUAGUCUAACACAAUGUAAUCAUAUAUUCAAUACAAACUUUUUAAUAACUCAAGGGCUCAUUUUAAAGUAUAAUAUAGCCCACAAGGGACCAAUGGUUUUUAUCAUGUAUACAAUGUAGGUUUGGGUUGACUGAAAUGAAAAAAAAAAAUCAUUCUACUUUAAGUAGAUAAACAACCAGGAGAAC